CUACGGGGGGCACCAGUGAGGAAUAUUGCACAAUGGGGGGAACCCUGAUGCAGCAACGCCGCGUGGAGGAUGACGCAUUUCGGUGUGUAAACUCCUUUUAUAUGUCAAGAAAAUGACGGUAGCAUAUGAAUAAGCACCGGCUAACUCCGUGCCAGCAGCCGCGGUAAUACGGAGGGUGCAAGCGUUACUCGGAAUCACUGGGCGUAAAGGACGCGUAGGCGGGUUGGAAAGCCAGGUGUGAAAUCCUACAGCUUAACUGUAGAACUGCACUUGAAACUUCUAAUCUAGAGUAUGGGAGGGGGAGAUGGAAUUAGUGGUGUAGGGGUAAAAUCCGUAGAUAUCACUAGGAAUACCUAAAGCGAGGGCGAUCUCCUGGAACAUUACUGACGCUAAGGCGUGAAAGCGUGGGGAGCAAACAGGAUUAGAUACCCGGGUAGUC
rnacentral:rRNA from 1 species